rnacentral:rRNA from 1 species
CACGUAGGCACCAAGCGUUGUCCGGAAUUAUUGGGCGUAAAGGGCUCGUAGGCGGUUUGUCGCGUCGGGAGUGAAAUCCACUGGCUUAACUGGUGGCUUGCUUUCGAUACGGGCAGACUGGAGGUAUGCAGGGGAGAACGGAAUUCCUGGUGUAGCGGUGAAAUGCGCAGAUAUCAGGAGGAACACCGGUGGCGAAGGCGGUUCUCUGGGCAUGUCCUGACGCUGAGGAGCGAAAGUGUGGGGAGCGAACAGG